UCUUGACUAGUAUAUCGGUUAGUACACGCGCUUGUCAUAAGCCCUACGGAUCGAUGCGCGCGAAAGCUGGGUUCGACUCCCAGGUCGAGAG